rnacentral:sRNA from 1 species
UACUUUGAUGUUAUGGAUCCAGUUUUGGA